AGAACGAACGCUGGCGGCAGGCCUCAAACAUGCAAGUCUAGGGGAUGUAGCAAUACAUCACCGGCGGACGGGUGCGUAACACGUGGGAAUAUACCUUUCGGUACGGAACAACUGCGGGAAACUGCAGCUAAUACCGUAUACGUCCUUACGGAGAAAGAUUUAUCGCCGAAGGAUUAGCCCGCGUUCGAUUAGCUAGUUGGUGAGGUAAUGGCUCACCAAGGCGACGAUCGAUAGCUGUUCUGAGAGGAAGAUCAGCCACACUGGGACUGAGACACGGCCCAGACUCCUACGGGAGGCAGCAGUUGGAAUCUUGGACAAUGGGGGAAACCCUGAUCCAGCCAUGCCGCGUGAGUGAUGAAGGCCUUCGGGUUGUAAAGCUCUUUUACCCGGGAAGAUAAUGACUGUACCGGAGAAUAAGCUCCGGCUAACUUCGCGCCAGCAGCCGC
rnacentral:rRNA from 1 species